AUUGAACGCUGGCGGCAGGCCUAACACAUGCAAGUCGAGCGAGCCGAGGAUGGGUGAGUAAUGUAUGGGGACUGCCCGAUAGAGGGGGACAACUUCUGGAAACUGUGGCUAAUAUCGCAAACUAUCGGUAAACCCAUAUGGGAUUAGAUAGUAGGUGGGGUAAAGGCUCACCUAGGCGACGAUCUCUAGCUGGUCUGAGAGGAUGAUCAGCCACACUGGGACUGAGACACGGCCCAGACUCCUACGGAGGCAGCAGUGGGGAAUAUGGCACAAUGGGCGCAAGCCUGAUGCAGCCAUGCCGCGUGUAUGAAGAAGGCCUUAGGGUUGUAAAGUACUUUCAGCGGGGAGGCGUUACCCGCAGAAGAAGCACCGGCUAACUCCGUGCCAGCAGCCGCGGUAAUUC
rnacentral:rRNA from 1 species